UGGGGAAUAUUGCACAAUGGGCGCAAGCCUGAUGCAGCCAUGCCGCGUGUGUGAAGAAGGCCUUCGGGUUGUAAAGCACUUUCAGCGGGGAGGAAGGCGAUAAGGUUAAUAACCUUGUCGAUUGACGUUACCCGCAGAAGAAGCACCGGCUAACUCCGUGCCAGCAGCCGCGGUAAUACGGAGGGUGCAAGCGUUAAUCGGAAUUACUGGGCGUAAAGCGCACGCAGGCGGUCUGUCAAGUCGGAUGUGAAAUCCCCGGGCUCAACCUGGGAACUGCAUUCGAAACUGGCAGGCUAGAGUCUUGUAGAGGGAGGUAGAAUUCCAGGUGUAGCGGUGAAAUGCGUAGAGAUCUGGAGGAAUACCGGUGGCGAAGGCGGCCCCCUGGACAAAGACUGACGCUCAGGUGCGAAAGCGUGGGGAGCAAACAGG
rnacentral:rRNA from 1 species